UACGUAGGGUGCAAGCGUUGUCCGGAAUUAUUGGGCGUAAAGAGCUCGUAGGCGGUUUGUCGCGUCGAAUGUGAAAACCCGGGGCUCAACCCCGGGCCUGCAUUCGAUACGGGCAGACUAGAGUUCGGUAGGGGAGUCUGGAAUUCCUGGUGUAGCGGUGAGAUGCGCAGAUAUCAGGAGGAACACCGGUGGCGAAGGCGGGACUCUGGGCCGAUACUGACGCUGAGGAGCGAAAGCGUGGGGAGCAAACAGG
rnacentral:rRNA from 1 species